UUGGCUUUCUCCUCCUUCUCCUCCUCCUCCUCCUCCUUCUCCUCCUCCUCCUCCUCCUCCUUCUCCUUCUUCUUCUUCUUCUUCUUCUUCUUCUUCUUUCUUUUCAUUUUUCCUAUUUCUUCUCCUAUUCUCCUUUUGUUGGAGCCCAAUUAGCUAACUAUGUCUUUUUGGAGCUAUAUGGGCUAAUUAUGCCAUUUUAGAGGAAAACAAGCUAAGAAUAUAAUAUUCAUGAGUUAAC
rnacentral:lncRNA from 1 species